rnacentral:rRNA from 1 species
UACGAAGGGGGCUAGCGUUGCUCGGAAUUACUGGGCGUACAGGGCGCGUAGGCGGAUAGUUUAGUCAGAGGUGAAAGCCCAGGGCUCAACCUUGGAACUGCCUUUGAUACUGGCUAUCUUGAGUUCGGGAGAGGUGAGUGGAAUGCCGAGUGUAGAGGUGAAAUUCGUAGAUAUUCGGCGGAACACCAGUGGCGAAGGCGACUCACUGGCCCGAUACUGACGCUGAGGCGCGAAAGCGUGGGGAGCAAACAGG